rnacentral:rRNA from 1 species
AUUGAACGCUGGCGGCAUGCCUUACACAUGCAAGUCGAACGGUAACAGGUUAAGCUGACGAGUGGCGAACGGGUGAGUAAUAUAUCGGAACGUGCCCAGUCGUGGGGGAUAACUGCUCGAAAGAGCAGCUAAUACCGCAUACGACCUGAGGGUGAAAGCGGGGGAUCGCAAGACCUCGCGCGAUUGGAGCGGCCGAUAUCAGAUUAGGUAGUCGGUGGGGUAAAGGCUCACCAAGCCAACGAUCUGUAGCUGGUCUGAGAGGACGACCAGCCACACUGGGACUGAGACACGGCCCAGACUCCUACGGGAGGCAGCAGUGGGGAAUUUUGGACAAUGGGCGCAAGCCUGAUCCAGCAAUGCCGCGUGCAGGAAGAAGGCCUUCGGGUUGUAAACUGCUUUUGUACGGAACGAAACGGUCCUGGUUAAUACCUGGGGCUAAUGACGGUACCGUAAGAAUAAGCACCGGCUAACUACGUGCCAGCCGCCGCCGUAAAAC